CUGGAGGUAUUUGUGGGGGGAAAAGAUAGUAUGAUGCUGGAAAAGUGCGGAGCCUAAUCUAUAUAUUUUUUUACAGGUCCUGCGGUAAAGAGUUGUGGCUGGACCAGAUGAAGACGGUCUGGGACAGAUGGAGAAGAAAAAGAAAAGAAAUUAGUCCGAUCAGAGAAGAUAUCAUCUGAAGACUGUCUCCCACCUUUGGACCAUGGAUUGGAUAAACGGUGCCCUGGCAUCACAAUUUGAGCAAGUGCCCAGCUGAAGACUCGGACUCAACAUGGGCUGUAGUAGGAAAAGAAAGAAGAUGACACCUACAUAGGAGGAAAGGAGAGAACAAAAGAGGAGAAGGAGAAAAUUACUCCAAAGUGGAGAGCUACCGAGAGAGG